rnacentral:rRNA from 1 species
GAGUUUGAUCCUGGCUCAGAUUGAACGCUGGCGGCAGGCUUAACACAUGCAAGUCGAACGGUAACAUGAGUGCUUGCACUUGAUGACGAGUGGCGGACGGGUGAGUAAAGUAUGGGGAUCUGCCGAAUGGAGGGGGACAACAGUUGGAAACGACUGCUAAUACCGCAUAAAGUUGAGAGACCAAAGCAUGGGACUUACGGGCCAUGCGCCAUUCGAUGAGCCCAUAUGGGAUUAGCUAGUUGGUAGGGUAAUGGCUUACCAAGGCGACGAUCUCUAGCUGGUCUGAGAGGAUGACCAGCCACACUGGAACUGAGACACGGUCCAGACUCCUACGGGAGUCAGCAGUGGGGAAUAUUGCACAAUGGGGGGAACCCUGAUGCAGCCAUGCCGCGUGUAUGAAGAAGGCCUUCGGGUUGUAAAGUACUUUCGGUGAUGAGGAAGGUGGUGUAUCUAAUAGGUGCAUCAAUUGACGUUAAUUACAGAAGAAGCACCGGCUAACUCCGUGCCAGCAGCCGCGGUAAUACGGAGGGUGCGAGCGUUAAUCGGAAUGACUGGGCGUAAAGGGCAUGUAGGCGGAUAAUUAAGUUAGGUGUGAAAGCCCCGGGCUCAACCUAGGAAUUGCACUUAAAACUGGUUAACUAGAGUAUUGUAGAGGAAGGUAGAAUUCCACGUGUAGCGGUGAAAUGCGUAGAGAUGUGGAGGAAUACCGGUGGCGAAGGCGGCCUUCUGGACAGAUACUGACGCUGAGAUGCGAAAGCGUGGGGAGCAAACAGGAUUAGAUACCCUGGUAGUCCACGCUGUAAACGAUGUCGAUUUGGAGUUUGUUGCCUAGAGUGAUGGGCUCCGAAGCUAACGCGAUAAAUCGACCGCCUGGGGAGUACGGCCGCAAGGUUAAAACUCAAAUGAAUUGACGGGGGCCCGCACAAGCGGUGGAGCAUGUGGUUUAAUUCGAUGCAACGCGAAGAACCUUACCUGGUCUUGACAUCCACAGAAUUUUGCAGAGAUGCGAGGGUGCCUUCGGGAACUGUGAGACAGGUGCUGCUUGGCUGUCGUCAGCUCGUGUUGUGAAAUGUUGGGUUAAGUCCCGCAACGAGCGCAACCCUUAUCCUUUGUUGCCAUUGGCUCGGCCGGGAACUCAAAGGAGACUGCCGUUGAUAAAGCGGAGGAAGGUGGGGACGACGUCAAGUCAUCAUGGCCCUUACGACCAGGGCUACACACGUGCUACAAUGGCGUAUACAAAGGGAGGCGA